rnacentral:lncRNA from 1 species
GGUACAUGUGGAUACCUAGGUUGUAGAAAUGCUGGACUACACAAUUGCUGAGUUACUCUCUGGCUGUAGAUUAUAUGAUGAGGUAUUUUACAAUCAGCUUUUGAAGGUCAACAUUGAAUAAUGCUCUUUUAAAAAAAUUAUAUCCUCAGUGUUUUUCCAUGGAAAAAUAAGUGAAAAUUCUUUUAAGAGUUGCUGUUUGGUGAAAAGAACAAACAUGACUUUCAAAGAAAAUGUUUUACUAUCACCAAAAUCUCCCAAGUGAAUAAGUACCACAGAAAUUACUUAUUGCACCUGUAUCUGCCAUUGGCUGUGAAAAAGGCUGCAAAAAGUAGGGCUGAAAGGGAAACUUUAGAAACUAAUACUCUGAAAGAUGUUUUCCUAUGGAUUAAAUUUAGUGUCUUUCUGAAAGUUGGGGGCAAAUUCCCAGAUACUAAUAGCAUCUUUGCUAAGUGUCUGAUUAUCUUCUAUCCCCUAGGAGGAAAGAGUGGUCCAUGUUGCUGUAACUACUACUAUGAGUGCUUAUGCUGUAUUGUUUUUAAAGAGUAAAACCUUUAAGUACUAAUAGUUGUCUUUUCUCAUUCACAGGAGCAGAAAGGUGCAGUUGUUUAUUCUCUUAGCCUUUUUUUUUUCCUGUAUUUCCCACAAAUCUAGAAAUAAUUAUUGGAGUUAAUAUGAAAGAUAAAUAGGCUUUUCUUUUUACUUUUUAAUUUUUUUCUUUAAAUCAUAAAAAACCUUGGGAUUUAGAAAAAUGUCAAAAUCGACAAAUAAAGAUGAAUCAUUGGAAUGAGACUCUUCCUUGGUUCUACUAGCUAGUUAUAUAACCUUAUUUAAGUCAUUUAUGCUUCUUGGAGCUCAGUUUUCUCACCAACAAGGUGAUAAAAGGGUUAAUUUAGAAUGAUCCUUUGACAUUUCAUAAUUGUACAAUUAAUAUGUACGAUCAGGAAGUCCUAGGCAGGCAGAGUUGUUUUCUGAUUUCCAAAGAUUAAGCCCCUGAUGAAAAAUCUGGAACAAAUAGAGAAUUUUCAUUAUUGUGUUCAUUUGCUAAUAAUAGCUUUAUUGAGAUAUAAUUCACUCUGAAAAAGUAUACAAUUAAGUGGUUUUUACUAUAUUCACAGAGUUGUGCAACAAUAACCACUCACUAAUUACAGAAUAUUUUAUAACUCCCAAAAGAAAUCCUGUAACCAUUAGUGAUCACUUCCCACUACCUCCUCCCCACAACUCCUGGAAACCACUAUAUGCUUUUUGUCUCCAUGCCUAUUCUGGACAUUUCAUAUAAAUGGAACCAUACAACAUGUGACCUAUUGUAUGUGGCUUCUUUCACUUAGCAAAAUAUUUUGAGAGUUCAUGCAUGUUGUAACACGUAUGAAUACUUCAUUCCUUUUUAUUACUAAAUAAUAAUCCAUCAUAUGAAUAUAC